rnacentral:rRNA from 1 species
CCUACGGGAGGCUGCAGUGGGGAAUAUUGGACAAUGGGGGGAACCCUGAUCCAGCCAUGCCGCGUGUGUGAAGAAGGCCCUCGGGUUGUAAAGCACUUUCAGUGAGGAAGAACGCCUGGUGGUUAAUACCCAUCAGGAAAGACAUCACUCACAGAAGAAGCACCGGCUAACUCCGUGCCAGCAGCCGCGGUAAUACGGAGGGUGCGAGCGUUAAUCGGAAUUACUGGGCGUAAAGCGCGCGUAGGUGGCUUGAUAAUCCGGUUGUGAAAGCCCCGGGCUCAACCUGGGAACGGCAUCCGGAACUGUCAAGCUAGAGUGCAGGAGAGGAAGGUAGAAUUCCCGGUGUAGCGGUGAAAUGCGUAGAGAUCGGGAGGAAUACCAGUGGCGAAGGCGGCCUUCUGGACUGACACUGACACUGAGGUGCGAAAGCGUGGGUAGCAAACAGGAUUAGAUACCCGAGUAGUC